AUUGAACGUUGGCGGCAGGCCUAACACAUGCAAGUCGAGCGGAUGACGGGAGCUUGCUCCUUGAUUCAGCGGCGGACGGGUGAGUAAUGCCUAGGAAUCUGCCUGGUAGUGGGGGACAACGUUUCGAAAGGAACGCUAAUAUCGCAUGCGUCCUACGGGAGAAAGCAGGGGACCUUCGGGCCUUGCGCUAUCAGAUGAGCCUAGGUCGGAUUAGCUUGUUGGUGAGGUAAUGGCUCACCAAGGCGACGAUCCGUAACUGGUCUGAGAGGAUGAUCAGUCACACUGGAACUGAGACACGGUCCAGACUCCUACGGGAGGCAGCAGUGGGGAAUAUUGGACAAUGGGCGAAAGCCUGAUCCAGCCAUGCCGCGUGUGUGAAGAAGGUCUUCGGAUUGUAAAGCACUUUAAGUUGGGAGGAAGGGUUGUAGAUUAAUACUCUGCAAUUUUGACGUUACCGACAGAAUAAGCACCGGCUAACUCUGUGCCAGCAGCCGCGGUAACAC
rnacentral:rRNA from 1 species